UGCAUAUCCCCAAAAGCGGAGGAAAAGAAACCAACAGGGAUUGCCCCAGUAACGGCGAGUGAAGCGGCAACAGCUCAAAUUUGAAAUCUGGCCCCCCGGCCCGAGUUGUAAUUUGGAGAGGAUGCUUCUGGCGCGGCGCCGUCCGAGUUCCUUGGAACAGGACGCCACAGAGGGUGAGAGCCCCGUACGGACGGACGCCUAGCCUCUACGAAGCUCCUUCGACGAGUCGAGUAGUUUGGGAAUGCUGCUCAAAAUGGGAGGUAAAUUUCUUCUAAAGCUAAAUACCGGCCAGAGACCGAUAGCGCACAAGUAGAGUGAUCGAAAGAUGAAAAGCACUUUGAAAAGAGGGUUAAAAAGUACGUGAAAUUGUUGAAAGGGAAGCGCCUGUGACCAGACUUGCGCCCCGCGGACCACCCGGCGUUCUCGCCGGUGCACUCUGCGGUGCGCAGGCCAGCAUCGGUUCUCCCAGGGGGACAAAGGCCGCGGGAACGUAGCUCCUUCGGGAGUGUUAUAGCCCGCGGCGGCAUGCCCCUGGGGGGACCGAGGACCGCG
rnacentral:rRNA from 1 species